rnacentral:other from 1 species
CGGUUGCUGCGCGGCGCGCGAGGUCGCGAAUGUCUCGGGGGCUAUACGUUGUCUAACGGGAGCUGUCCCUGUCGGGGCCCUGGCCUCGGUAUAUGGCGCCCACCUGGUUAUCCAGGUCCCUUGGACAUACAAGACUAACGCCCGAUGUGGCGCCGCA